GGCAACCCGCUGGGGUUCUUUUCGGCAUUGUGGAAGCUUUGUUCUUUUUGCUCUUUGCAGUCAAUCUUGCUGCUGUUCACUCUUUGGGGCUGCAUUGCCUUUAUGGGCUGUUAAUGCUCACCGCGAAGGUUUGCAGCUUCACUCCUGAAGCCAACGAAACCACGAACCGACUGGGAGGAGUGAAUAACGCCGGACGCGCCGCCUUGAGAGCUGUAACAGUCACCUCGAAGGUCUGCAACUUCACUCCAGCGAAAUCACGAACCCCACCAGAAGGAAGAAACUCCGAACACAUCGGUACAUCAGAAGGCACAAACUACGGACACGCCGCCUUUAAGAACUGUAACACUCACGGCGAGGGUCCGCGGCUUCAUUCUUGAGGUCAGUGAGACCAAGAACCCACCAAUUCCGGACACACCAUGAUCAUACCACUGCACUCCAGCCUGGAGUACAAGGGUCUCACUCUGUCACGUGGGGCAAUCACGACUCACUGCAGCCUCAAUCUCCCAGGCUCAAGUGAUCCUCCCAUCUCAGCCUUCCGGGGCUUUAGUCUAUGGCCCAGGCUAGAGUGCAGUGCUGUGAUCUUGGCUCACUGUAACAACCUUCACCUCCGGGACUCAAGCAAUCCUCCCACCUCAGCCUCCCAAGCAGCUGGAACCACAGCAACGGCCAAUUAGGGCAGCUCCGGCUUGCCUCCCAAGGCGAUGCUCCCCUCCUCCAGCAAUUACUACCUGAGGACGGCUUUAUUUCCCUGGCCUUGCAAACCACCCAAGGACUGCGUUUGACCGGUUGACCUUCUUUGACAGCAAAUUCCUCUAGCUGACCACAAGUCACAUGAAGAAGUUAUUUCCUUUUAUUUGUUCUAAAUUUCCUUUUUAAACUGUUGGCCUCCUUCAAGGGUAUAACUUUUAAAGGAGAAAUAAAUACAAUUGUUGUUUUGUUGUGAGCAGGAAUAGUUAGGGAAUAUAAAUAUUUUUUAAAUCC